rnacentral:rRNA from 1 species
UACGUAGGGGGCUAGCGUUAUCCGGAUUUACUGGGCGUAAAGAGUGCGUAGGUGGUUUCUUAAGCGUGGGGUGAAGGCCAUUGGCUUAACCAGUGUAAGCCCCGCGAACUGGGGGACUUGAGUUCAGGAGAGGAAAGCGGAAUUCCUAGUGUAGCGGUGAAAUGCGUAGAUAUUAGGAGGAACACCAGUGGCGAAGGCGGCUUUUUGGACUGUAACUGACACUGAGGCACGAAAGCGUGGGGAGCAAACAGGAUUAGAUACCCCGGUAGUCCCUGAGCGGGCUGGCAA